GAGCUAAUUCCCUGGACGACCAGCAGGAGGCGCCGCAGGGAUACCUGGUCACAGGCUGUGGAUCGCCUUGAAGAUAAGGACCGAGAUCAUGACUUUGAUUUACAAUUCUAUGGGAAGCCAGCGCAGAGGGCGGCAGAGAGGAGCGAUGUGCUUGUGGUAGCCCAUGUUGCUAAGGAGAUGGGCUGCGGCAUUCUGUACUAGCUGGAGUUUCCUAGGUGCUGAAUUCUUCAUGCCCAGGAGCUCGGAGGGAGAGAGAGAGCAGCCCACAGGCCCUGGAAAAGGAAGCAGGAGAGAACCUGCCGGAAGCCUGGGGAGGGCAGGGCGGCUGAUCGGGGACAGCCCAAGACAGGCGUCAGGAGGAGCACUAUACCAGGGAGGAAUUGCCCGAGAAGGACAGGCCAGAACUGGACCCAGUAUCACGGCUGCCCAGAGCUGCAUGGGGCUAUAAAGGCCCCCAUCAAAAGCUGUGUAUUAAACCAUGGAGGCAGAUGAGGAAUUGAUUCUCAACAUGAGUUCUCUACCUUCCCCAGAGUCCCACCAUUCUGCAGGACACAAGAGGUUCUGCAAGCCAUUGCCCGGCAAGGACAAGUGGCAAUCUAAAGUUCUGAAAAGAAAGCUCCAAAGGGCAGAAAAGGCACACCUUCAAAGCAGAAACCCAAGUUGUCAGUAUCCCCAAUCAAGAAAUGCACUAAGGAGACUGACAUCUGCGUGAAGGGCAUGGUAGCACUAUGUACUCACUCCAAGGAAGCAGAUCUUGAUAAAGUGCCCAAGGAGGUGCAAGGAGAAGGUAGUCCCUGGACAAUUCUGGGGGCAGAGCAAUCCCCUCCUAGUGUGCCUGAGUCACUUGAGGUGGAUUCUUUAGCGCAGAAAUUGCAAGCUCUGAUGGUGGAUAAGAAGUGGACAAGAGAAGAAUUAAUUUUGGCAUUAGGAGGGGCUCCAACACCUGCAGCACCCAGCCUGGUGGGAUGGGCCAAAGAGCUGGGAAACGCUCUAAAAGAUGCAUUGAAACUGGUAUACGAAAGUGCUCCAUGCAAGCGGUUACGUUCUUUCUUGGGAGUGUCACCUGUACCCUCAGGGGAGGAUGAUUACAAGACCUGGAGGGAUUUUACGGUGCCACUUGUCCAAGAGUGGGAAUGCUCUGAUGCUGAGAAGCGGAAACGUGUGCUUGAGAGUCUGAGGGACCUGCCAUGCGAAUUAUCCGAGCUCUGAAAGACUCCCAACCAGCUGCCACAGUGCAAGACUAUUUAACCGCUCUUGAGAGUGUCUACGGUGCUACUGAUAGCAGUGAACACCUGUAUUAUCGUUUCCGCCAUACCUAUCAGGAGCCCCACGAACGAUUGUCGGAUUUCAUCAGGAGACUAGAGGAUUUGCUACAGCAGGUAGUGCGGAAGGAGGGCAUCCCCACCAAGUGCAUUGAUUCUGCUAGGUUGGACCAAAUCCUUUGGGGCACCCGACAAGAUGGGCUGAUGUUGUGGCGACUGCAGCUGAGGGAGUGGGCCCAAAACCCACCCCCAUUCCACAAGCUCAUUCGAGAGAUACGUGAAGAGGAGGAGCGAUUGUUGCAAGUGGAUGUAGUGGUACAGCCGAAGAUGGCAGGGAGUCACACCACCACAGUGCUUAGAGAGAUGGAAGAGGCCCCAGAAUAGCUAGGGAUGGCCCUGCUCCUACUCUCUGUUUGUAAGAGGGGACUGUAAUACUUUGGUCUUGUUUCAGUUGUGGGGUUUAGUGUGUGGACGUGGGUGGUGCUGGUGACCUGUGAUAUACAGGAGAUCAGACUAGAUCAGGGGUAGGCAACCUAUGGCACGCGUGCCGAAGGCGGCACGCGAGCUGAUUUUCAGUG